GCCUUCUCAGGAUCACACCUGGAGAGUUGCCAGUACUUUACCAGUCUCUACCACGGGAGGGAGAGUCAAGCAGAGGCAUACCCAUUCCAUUCCUAGCUCAGGCAGUGGCAAGCAAAUGGAAGGCAAUCUGCUACAAGU